GUAAGACUCUUUCGGUCCGGAACGAAAUACGACGUACGCGAAUAACGUGCGUGGAUGACGGUACUGGAAGAAGAAGCACCGGCUAACUACGUGC
rnacentral:rRNA from 1 species